GGGGAUGUGGCUCAACGGUAGAGCUCUUGCUUCACAUGCACAAGACACUGGGUUUGAUCCCCCGCACCCCCC
rnacentral:tRNA from 1 species